UCUAGCUCAAUGGUUAGAGCAUUAGCCUUCAGACUCGAGAGCUUCAGGUUCAAAUCCUGCAA
rnacentral:tRNA from 1 species